AAUUUUGGACAAUGGGGGAAAUCCUGACCUAGCCAUCCCGCGAGUAUGCUGAAGGCAANAGGGUANANAAGUAAUUUUGGCAGAGNCAAAAAGGUACCCCCUCAUACGGGAAACUGCUGACUGUAUCUGCAGAAUAAGCACCGACGAACUACGAGCCAUCAGCUGCGGUCACACGUAGGGUGCAAGCGUUAACCGGAAUUACGUGGCGUAAGGGUUGUGUAAGCGGUUCGUAAAGAAAGAUGUGGACUCCCAGGGGUGAAGCUUGGAACUGCAUUUUUACAUACCGGGCUAGAUUAUGUCAGGAGGGGGUAGAAUUCCACGUGUAGCAGUGAAAUGCGUAGAUAUGUUGAGGAAUACCGAUGGCGAAGGCAGCCCCCUGGGAUAAUACUGACGCUCAGACACGAAAGCGUGGGGAGCAAACAGG
rnacentral:rRNA from 1 species